AACGAACGCUGGCGGCGUGCCUAACACAUGCAAGUCGAACGGAAUUAGAGAGCUUGCUCUUUGAUUUAGUGGCGCACGGGUGAGUAACGCGUAGAUAAUCUGCCUGACGGUGUGGGAUAACACUUCGACAGAGGUGCUAAUACCGGAUAAGCACACGAGUUCUUUGGAAUCUGCGGGAAAAGGGGGGGACGUUCGGGCCUUCUGUCGUCAGAUGAGUCUGCGUACCAUUAGCUAGUUGGUAGGGUAAAGGCCUACCAAGGCGACGAUGGUUAGCUGGUCUGAGAGGAGGAUCAGCCACACUGGAACUGAAACACGGUCCAGACUCCUACGGGAGGCAGCAGUGGGGAAUUUUGCGCAAUGGGCGAAAGUCUGACGCAGCAACGCCGCGUGAGUGAUGAAGGCUUUCGGGUCGUAAAGCUCUGUCAAUGGGAAAGAAGUGUAUUUUGGCUAAUAUCCUUAAUACUUGACGGUACCCAUAAAGGAAGCACCGGCUAACUCCGUGCCAGCCGCCGCGGUAA
rnacentral:rRNA from 1 species